GACAGGCAUGGUGGCACGUGCCUGCAGUCCCAGCUACUUGGGAGGCUGAGGCUGGAGGAUCGCUUGAGUCCAGGAGUUCUGGGCUGUAAUGCACUAUGCCAAUCGGGUGUCUGCACUAAGUUUGGCAUCAAUAUGGUGACCUCCUGGGAGUGGGGGACCACCAGGUUACCUAAGGAGGGGUGAACUGGCCCAGGUCAAAACUCCUGUGCAGUUGGAUCGAGCCUGUGAAUAGUCACUGCCCUCCAGCCUGGGCAACAUAGCGAGACCCCAUCUCU
rnacentral:SRP_RNA from 1 species